CGCAAAACAAGUUGGACAGGGCACUGAAAGAGGAGACAGGCUACAACGGAAAUAGUUACACUACAUGGACACACUUGUGCAAAGAAAGGAAAAGAAAGACAAACAAAGAGCGAGCACGAGACCAGAGAUAACAAGAAAACUCACCUGCAAGGCUGGCAAUGGGCAUUCAAUGAGGUUACACAGUGAGGACAGCUUCCAUCAGAAUUGCUCGUUACACUGUGUAUAUUCAUUUCGGCAUUGAGUAGCAGAUCAAGAAGCUAAAAGCAAGUAAGAAAAGCGCUGGAGGCCAGCGAGUGUUCACUCUGAUAAGUCCGGACCCCAUUAUAGAUUUUCUGUGGUCUGUCUCAGCCAAGGGCAAAUUGGGAUUUGCAAUUAAAUGGAGAAAUACGUACAACAAGG